UGGGUUCGAAUACGGGAAAAGAUUUUUUAUAUGAAUUGGGUCUGUUAGUAUCACAAUUGACUGUACUCUAGCUAUCUGAAAUCAAUUAUCAAACUACAAAACACCAAGGCUUACUACUUCCAUCUUAAUUCAACACAUAAUCCACUCUACGAAUAUCAAUUCAACAAUACUUCUAUAUUCUUAUCGGUUCAUCUUCCACUUACUAUCUUUGUCAUUUAUAUAUAUUCAAUUACUGAUCUCCAGCUUACUUAUUAUAUUUAGUUUCUAAAUUCAUCACACAAAAUUCAAUAUCUUUACUUAACACAACAUAAUUCGAUAAUCUCAAUUCUCAAGGUCACAAAUUUUUUCCAAAACGGUUAGUCCAAAGUCAUAUUCCACAAUAUUCUAAUCACAAUUUCAACAAUACUUCUCUCAAUCACAAUUCUUCAUAAGCAAAUAAUAAAAGCAAAGAAAACA
rnacentral:lncRNA from 1 species